rnacentral:tRNA from 1 species
GCCUGGGUGGCUCAGUCGGUUGAGCAUCUGACUGGCUCAGGUCAUGAUCUCGCAGUUCGUGAGUUCGAGCCUCGUGUCGGGCU